UUCUUAUUAGCUUAAAAGUAGAGUAUAAUACUUCUAAUAUUGAGAUUCUAGUUCGAAUCUAGAAUAAGAUA
rnacentral:tRNA from 1 species